AGUCGACGGGGUGCUUGCACCCAGUGGCGAACGGGUGAGUAACACGUAUCUAAUCUACCCAUUAGCGGGGGAUAACAGUUGGAAACGACUGCUAAUACCGCAUACGACAUUUUCUGGCAUCAGAGAAUGUUAAAAGGUCCGUUUGGACCACUAAUGGAUGAGGGUGCGGCGUAUUAGUUAGUUGGUGGGGUAAUGGCCUACCAAGACAGUGAUACGUAGCCGAACUGAGAGGUUGAACGGCCACAUCGGGACUGAGACACGGCCCGAACUCCUACGGGAGGCAGCAGUAGGGAAUUUUUCACAAUGGGCGAAAGCCUGAUGGAGCAAUGCCGCGUGACUGAAGACGGUCUUCGGAUUGUAAAGGUCUGUUGUAAGGGAAGAAUAGUAAGUAUAGGAAAUGAUACUUAUUUGACGGUACCUUACCAGAAAGCCACGGCUAACUAUGUGCCAGCAGCCGCGGUAAUACAUAGGUGGCAAGCGUUAUCCGGAUUUAUUGGGCGUAAAGCGUGCGCAGACGGUUUAACAAGUUUGGGGUCAAAUCCUGGAGCUUAACUCCAGUUCGCCUUGAAAACUGUUAAACUAGAGUGUAGGAGAGGUCGAUGGAAUUCCAUGUGUAGCGGUGAAAUGCGUAGAUAUAUGGAGGAACACCAGUGGCGAAGGCGGUCGACUGGCCUAUCACUGACGUUUAGGCACGAAAGCGUAGGGAGCAAAUAGGAUUAGAUACCCUAGUAGUCUACGCCGUAAACGAUGAGUACUAAGUGUCGGACUAAGUUCGGUGCUGCAGCUAACGCAUUAAGUACUCCGCCCUGAGUAGUAUGCUCGCAAGAAGUGAAACUCAAAGGAAUUGACGGGGACCCGCACAAGCGGUGGAGCAUGUGGUUUAAUUCGAAGCAACGCGAAGAACCUUACCAAGGCUUGACAUCCCAGUGCAAAGCUGUAGAAAUACAGUGGAGGUUAAACAUUGAGACAGGUGGUGCAUGGUUGUCGUCAGCUCGUGCCGUGAGGUGUUUGGUUAAGUCCAGUAACGAGCGCAACCCUUGCCGUUAGUUACUCCAUUAAGUUGAGAUACUCUAACGGGACUGCUAGUGUAAGCUAGAGGAAGGUGGGGAUGACGUCAAAUCAUCAUGCCCCUUAUGUCUUGGGCUACACACGUGCUACAAUGGCCGGUACAAACAGUUGCGAUCUCGUAAGGGGGAGCUAAUCUGAAAAAGCCGGUCUCAGUUCGGAUUGAGGGCUGCAACUCGCCCUCAUGAAGCCGGAAUCGCUAGUAAUCGCGAAUCAGCAAUGUCGCGGUGAAUACGUUCUCGGGUCUUGUACACACCGCCCGUCACACCAUGAGAGUUGAUAAUACCAGAAGUCGGUAUUCUAACCGUAAGGAGGAAGCCGCCCAAGGUAGGAUUGAUGAUUAGGGUGAAGUCGUAACAAGGUAUCCGUACGAGAACGUGCGGAUGGAUCACCUCCUUUCUAUGGAGUUAUUACUUUAUAGUAAUUUAAUUAGUUUUAAUGACCGUUAUGUUUAGUUUUCAGAGAUUAGUUUCUCUGACAAUAACAAGAAAAUGUUAUUGAAAUUGUUCUUUGAAAACUGGAUAAUAGACAUCUAGUUAUUUUAAUCACACGAUUAAAAUAACAAUAAUUCAAAAUUUCUGUUAUUUUUAAAAAAAUAACUAAAAUUUCACAGUUAUAUUUGUAAAUGAUUCUCAAAACUGAUUUAAAAUCAGGUCAAAUAAUUAAUAAAACUUUGAAGUUACAAAGGGCGUAUGGUGAAGGCCU
rnacentral:rRNA from 1 species